rnacentral:rRNA from 1 species
AGUGAGACUGCCGGUGACAAACCGGAGGAAGGUGGGGAUGACGUCAAGUCCUCAUGGCCCUUAUGGGUAGGGCUUCACACGUCAUACAAUGGUCGGUACAGAGGGUUGCCAACCCGCGAGGGGGAGCUAAUCCCACAAAGCCGAUCGUAGUCCGGAUCGCAGUCUGCAACUCGACUGCGUGAAGUCGGAAUCGCUAGUAAUCGUGGAUCAGCAUGUCACGGUGAAUACGUUCCCGGGUCUU